rnacentral:rRNA from 1 species
AGUGAACGCUGGCGGCGUGCCUAAUACAUGCAAGUCGAACGGAGAUUAAGUAGCUUGCUAUUUUAUCUUAGUGGCGCACGGGUGAGUAAUAUAUAGCUAACUUGCCCAUUACUAAGGGACAACAGUUGGAAACGACUGCUAAUACCUUAUACUCCGUAUCUAUAUAAGUAGAUACGGGAAAGUUUUUCGGUAAUGGAUAGGGCUAUAUCGUAUCAGCUAGUUGGUAAGGUAAUGGCUUACCAAGGCUAUGACGCGUAACUGGUCUGAGAGGAUGAUCAGUCACACUGGAACUGAGACACGGUCCAGACUCCUACGGGAGGCAGCAGUAGGGAAUAUUGCUCGAUGGAGGAAACCCUGAGGCAGCAACGCCGCGUGGAGGAUGACACUUUUCGGAGCGUAAACUCCUUUUCUUGGGAAAGAAUUAUGACGGUACCCAAGAAAUAAGCACCGGCUAACUCCGUG